UGCUAACAAAUAGACUUAGUGGAUACUUUGAGUAGCAUUGUUCUAGAUAACUCUGACCUUUUCUUUCAAGUCUCAGCUGACACAUCACUUCCUCCAGGACGUCUUCCUGACAACCCUCCUCCAACCCGCAUCUGACUGGCUGGUCUCAUAGAAUGCUGUGUGUCCCCCUGUCAGAGCACUCACUAAUCAAGCUGUGUUUCAAAUGAAUCUGUCCCACUGGAUCGAGGGUGCUGCUGCUUACCUCUGAAUGUGUAAGCCCUUGCAAAAGUUCAGGGCUCCAAAGGCAAUAAGGCAUCCACGAUCCCUUCUGCAAGCCAAUUGGUCAAAGGAGGUAACAUUGCCUAGAGCUAUGCUGGGAAGAUCACUCUGUAAUACAAUUCAGGAAAUUUAAUUAACUGGACAGGUCUGGUCCUGACUCCAAUUUCUUUAUCUUCUUAUGGACGACUGGAUAACAGAAGAAAUUGGGCAAUCUUUUGUGAUUGUUGUAAACGAGACUUUGUGACCAUUGCUGGAUGUUUUCAGCACCCAUCUCGAGCAUGGACCAACUGAUCCUCCUUUGGCAAUCAGCACUGCGAACCCUAUUAUGCAGAUGAAGAAACUGAGGCAACGAACAGCACUCCAGGGGCACAGAGAAAGUUGUGAUGAAAUUUAGGUUAGAGGUCAAAGUUGUGCCCCACUGAGGGGAAAAGUGAGGGGGUAUCACAGAAAUUCCUUAGCCUUGGGCUUGCUCUGACAUUCCUUUAGGCUUCCGCUUCUUUCUUCUUCUGGCUGAAGAGGACUCAUUGGGAUCUCAGAGCACAAUGCACAGAGCCUCAUCAAGCACUUCUGCUAAACACACACUCCCUGUUCCUCAUCCCUAUGUGUCCUAUUCAGCUGCAGGGGACUAACCGGAAGCUAAUAGCUUGUCUGAGACCAUGAGAGCCAGAAGUCUGCUUGCAAGGUGUUAUCCACUUGUAAUUAUAGGCCCGCAAGGGGUGAAUGCUUACCAUGGGGAGUGACUCUUCUUUCCCAAGUACAGGUGUCCCUUCUUCUUGAGCCCCUGCCAGGUGCUCAGCAGCUUGGGAGCCCGUCAGAUAAAUAGCAACUGAGGUUAUGUUGCCUCAACUGCGGCAUGUGCAGGCACGGCCCUCAGGUAUUUGGGCCUGGACUUGCCUUAGUCACGGUGAGACUGGAAAGAACGUGCCUGCAAAUCAGACCAAGUUAUAACCACCUCUCCAAAUAUCAGAGGAACAUCACCCUAACCAUAGUGACUACUGUAACCGAAAGAAAGCACCAGAGAACACAGAACACCAGGGAGAUUGUGCCAAGUAAAGUCCCAACUAGUGUUAAGUAAGAUACUAUUUAGUAUCAAAUAGAGAUUUCCUAUGCUUGAAGUCUUCUGCCACUCAGCAGAACAGCAUUGGAAAAUAAUUUCAGUUCCAUAGUUCUUAUUAUAAACUCUAGUAAGAGCUGGAGUCCUAUUUUUAAAUUACCAGAUUUGACUUAUUUGCAUGUCUGGCAUAACCUACCAAAACUAGUCCCUGCAGCCCGGUUGCCCUCUUCUGUGCUUAUAUUAUUUCAUUUGUUUGUAUUUAGGAUCCCCAAAGAAGGGCUUAAUACAUUAUUAAGAGGGAGUUUGACCUAUGAUCUUUAAUAAGGAGCUUCUUAGAUUAGUCAAGAUUUGAAAGCCAAAUAUUUAUAAACAUGUUCCUACAUGUAUAAAAGGGAGGAUGUAAACCAAACUGUUAACAAUGAGUAUCUCGGGGGAGUGGUACUGGACAGGGUGGAAAAUGUCACUUUCUGUUUUAUACACUUCUAUUGUCUAAGCUUUGUUGUUUAACAAGGAGCAUGUGACUCAUGUUUUAACUUUUUAAAAACAUUGUGUUUAUUUAGAAUAAUUUUAUUCACUCAUGGGAAAUUAAACUGGAUUCACACUUAUGCCAAGAGCAAGUAUGAUUCAAGGCAUAUUAGAAUCAGUUGAUUGGAAUUGAUUGGCUUUAGGAGGAACUGGUGGAGACAGACUGACACAAGCUAGCGUAGAGCCUCUUCCACCAGCCGGAGGGAUGCUCUCAGUCUCUUCUCAUGCAAACCCCCGGAUUAGGAGAAGAAUGAAACCAGGAAGAUUGCAAGCCCUCGUGUGGAACCUAGGAGGCAGGGACUGGUGACCACUUAAAGCAGAUUGGCUCCAGCCUCGGCAGAAUGUGAUGCCAGAACAUAGGCAUGGAAUCGCCUCAGCUCUGCCAGGAGUUCGCUCUACAACUUUAGGAUUUCUGGGCAAAUAUAACUUCCAUGGUUGUGUUCUACUGCAGAGCCCUAUGAAUUCUAGUGUGUUGGGUUGUUGUUGAGAAAAAGAACAUGGCACUUCUAUGAUGGUCUGGUCUGCUGGGGAAUAUACUAGGUGAGAUUAGGAAGAUCAUGAUCUGAUCCUGAUUCUGCCCCUAAUCCUUUAUAGGCCUCAGUUUCCUCAACUCUACACACAUUGAGAAGACUGAAUUUUACAGGAUCCCUAAGGUCUCUUUUAGCACAAAACGUUUAUGAUGUCUAAAGUGGUCCAUAAGCCAAGAAUUCUGAGUAGUGAGUACUACACAGUUCCUCUCUCAAUCUUUUUUUUUUUUUUUUGAGGAAGAUUAGCCCUGAGCUAACUGCUGCCAAUCCUCCUCUUUUUGCUGAGGAAGCCUGGCCCUGAGCUAACAUCUGUGUCCGUCUUCCUCUACUUUAUAUGUGGGAUCCCUACCACAGCAUGGCUUGCCAAGCAGUACCAUGUCCGCACCCAGGAUCCGAACCGGAGAAUCCCGGGCCGCCGAGAAGUGGAAGGUCCGCACUUAACAGCUGCGCCACCGGGCCGGCCCCUCUCAAUCUCUUUUAAAAAGCCCAACUUUAAUUAAACACAGCAACUCAGUCAGAUAUGUCUAUGUUGUAUGUCAUGUGUGGUAUGAUGCAUCAGUUGGAGAAAAGUCAGCCUAACCUGCUUUACAGGAAUGGAAAUAGGAGAACUGAG
ensembl:lncRNA